UACAGAGGUCCCGAGCGUUGUUCGGAUUCACUGGGCGUAAAGGGUGCGUAGGUGGCGAGGUAAGUUUGAUGUGAAAUCUCCGGGCUUAACCCGGAAAAUGCAUUGAAUACUAUUUUGCUGGAGGGUUGGAGGGGGGACUGGAAUUCUCGGUGUAGCAGUGAAAUGCGUAGAUAUCGAGAGGAACACCAGUGGCGAAGGCGAGUCCCUGGACAACACCUGACACUGAGGCACGAAAGCUAGGGGAGCAAACAGG
rnacentral:rRNA from 1 species